rnacentral:rRNA from 1 species
CCUGCUUGCAGGUUCGAGUAGAGUGGCGCCCGGGUGAGUAACGCGUGGAUAAUCUACCUUUGGAUCUGGGAUAACAUUGCGAAAGCGGUGCUAAUACCGGAUAAAAUCGUUAUUACUGCGGUAGAAACGAUGAAAGGCCGCCAAUCCUUGGAAGCGGUUGUUUGAAGAUGAGUCCGCGUACCAUUAGCUAGUAGGUGGGGUAAAAGCCUACCUAGGCGACGAUGGUUAGCUGGUCUGAGAGGAUGAUCAGCCACACUGGAACUGACACACGGUCCAGACUCCUACGGGAGGCAGCAGUGAGGAAUUUUGCGCAAUGGGGUAACCCCUGACGCAGCAACGCCGCGUGAGUGAUGAAGGCUUUUGGGUCGUAAAACUCUGUCAAUGGGAAAGAAAUUAUUGUUGGCUAAUAACCAAUAGUAUUGACGGUACCCAUGAAGGAAGCACCGGCUAACUCCGUGCCAGCAGCCGCGGUAAUACGGGGGGUGCAAGCGUUAUUCGGAAUUAUUGGGCGUAAAGAGCGCGUAGGCGGUAUUAUAGGUCAGAUGUGAAAGUUCAGGGCUCACCCCUGAAAGUGCAUUUGAAACCAUAAUACUUGAGUAUGGGAGAGGGAAGUGGAAUUCCAGGUGUAGAGGUGAAAUUCGUAGAUAUCUGGAGGAACACCGGUGGCGAAGGCGACUUCCUGGACCAAUACUGACGCUGAGGCGCGAAGGCGUGGGUAGCGAACAGGAUUAGAUACCCUGGUAGUCCACGCAGUAAACGUUGUACACUAGGUGUAGCGGGUAUUGACCCCUGCUGUGCCGCAGCAAACGCAUUAAGUGUACCGCCUGGGGAGUACGAUCGCAAGAUUAAAACUCAAAGGAAUUGACGGGGGCCCGCACAAGCGGUGGAGCACGUGGUUUAAUUCGACGCAACGCGAAGAACCUUACCUGGAUUUGACAUCUUGGGAAUACCUUAGAAAUUUGGUAGUGCCUUUCGGGGAGCCCAAAGACAGGUGCUGCAUGGCUGUCGUCAGCUCGUGUCGUGAGAUGUUGGGUUAAGUCCCGCAACGAGCGCAACCCUUAUCUUUAGUUACCAUCAUUAGUUGGGGACUCUAGAGAUACUGCCCCGGUUAACGGGGAGGAAGGUGGGGAUGACGUCAAGUCCUCAUGGCCUUUAUAUCCAGGGCUACACACGUGCUACAAUGGUAUGUACAAAGAGGUU